rnacentral:rRNA from 1 species
GCCAGACUCCUACGGGAGGCAGCAGUGGGGAAUAUUGGGCAAUGGAGGCAACUCUUACCCAGCAAUGCCGCGUGAAUGAAGAAGGUCUUCGGAUUGUAAAGUUCUUUAAUUGGGGACGAAAAAAAUGACGGUACCCAAGGAAUAAGCCCCGGCUAACUACGUGCCAGCAGCCGCGGUAAUACGUAGGGAGCGAGCGUUGUCCGGAAUUACUGGGUGUAAAGGGAGCGUAGGCGGGACUGCAAGUUGGGUGUCAAAUCUACCGGCCCAACCGGUAGCCGCACUCAAAACUGCAGUUCUUGAGUGAAGUAGAGGCAGGCGGAAUUCCUAGUGUAGCGGUGAAAUGCGUAGAUAUUAGGAGGGACACCAGUGGCGAAGGCGGCCUGCUGGGCUUUUACUGACGCUGAGGCUCGAAAGUGUGGGGAGCAAACAGGAUUAGAUACCCGAGUACU